rnacentral:antisense_RNA from 1 species
CUUGAUGGUGGCUGUGCGCAGGGCGCCCUCGGGCGCGCCGGUUUUGUUAGGUUCCACCGGUCAUACUUCGCAGCAAUUGCUCUCCAGA